rnacentral:rRNA from 1 species
GACGAACGCUGGCGGCGUGCUUAACACAUGCAAGUCGAACGGAAAGGCCCUGCUUUUGUUGGGUGCUCGAUUGGCGAACGGGUGAGUAACACAUGAGUAACCUGCCCCUGACUGUGGGAUAACUUCAGGAAACAGGGGCUAAUACCGGGUAGGAUCUCCUGCUGCGUGGGGGGGGUUGGAGAGUUUCGGCGGUUGGGGAUGGACGCGAUGCUUAUGAGCUUGUUGGUGGGGUAGUGGCGUACGAAGGGUUUGACGGGUAGCCGGCCUGAGAGGUUGAACGGGCACAAUGGGACUGAGAGACGGAGCAGACUGGAACGGGAGGCAGAAGUGGGGAAUAUUGCACAAUGAGCCGGAGCCUGAUGCAGCAGCGCCGGGUGCGGGAUGCCGGCCUUCGGGUUGUAAACAGAUUUCGACGGUGCCGAAGAGUGAGUGACGGUACUGGGUAAAGAAGCACCGGCUAACUACGUG